rnacentral:rRNA from 1 species
UACGUAGGGGGGCAAGCGUUGUCCGGAAUCAUUGGGCGUAAAGCGCGUGUAGGCGGCCCGGUAAGUCCGCUGUGAAAGUCGGGGGCUCAACCCUGGGAUGCCGGUGGAUACUGUCGGACUAGAGUACGGAAGAGGCGAGUGGAAUUCCCGGUGUAGCGGUGAAAUGCGCAGAUAUCGGGAGGAACACCAAUUGCGAAGGCAGCUCGCUGGGACGUCACUGACGCUGAGACGCGAAAGCGUGGGGAGCAAACAGGG